rnacentral:rRNA from 1 species
AUACGUAGGGAGCGAGCGUUGUCCGGAAUUACUGGGAGUAAAGGGAGCGUAGGCGGGAGUGCAAGUCAGAUGUGAAAUACAUGGGCUCAACCCAUGGGCUGCAUUUGAAAUUGCUGAUCUUGAGUAUCGGAGAGGCAAUCGGAAUUCCUAGUGUAGCGGUGGAAUGCGUAGAUAUUAGGAGGAACACCAGUGGCGAAGGCGGAUUGCUGGACGACAACUGACGGUGAGUCGCGAAAGCGUGGGGAGCAAACACGAUUAGAUACCCUGGUAGCCCACGCUGUAAACGAUGAAUACUAGGUGUUCGGUGACAGACCCCCUGCGUGACGCAGCUAACGCCAUAAGUCUUCCUCCUGGGGAGUACGAUCGCAAGGUUCAAACUCAAAUGAAUUGACGGUG